GCCCUCGUCGUCUAUGGGCGAAGAUCUCGGGUUUUCACCCCGAAGAGCAGAGUUCGAGUCUCUGCGAGGGCA
rnacentral:tRNA from 1 species